UAGGAUUAGGUUGGCAGACAAGACGAAGUCUAGUGACUAUUCCAGCCUCCAAUCUCUGCUCCCCAUCAUAUUCUUCUCUUUGUGUGUGAGUUUUAAUCAGGAUUUGGAGCCAUGAAACAUACUCCCUGGCUCAGAAAACUGUACUAAAGUGGCCUCAGUUCUUUUCAGCCUGGCUCUGAUGCUGAAAGCCACACCUCUUGGAACUUACGAGCAUAUCACAGAUGCUGAGCAGGGACCUUAGAAGCCUUAUGUGGAAGAUGGCAAAAUCUUGAGAUGGAGAAAUCCUAAACCCUAACAAAUGCUGGAAGAUUUGUCUCCAAGGAAAACUUCCAGGACCUACACUCGACUCAAAUGAAAGGACUGUAAAGUCAAGUCUGAUGUGUGCCCUGCUUCAUCCCUAGUGCUUGGAACAACAAAUGCACAUAGUACUUAAUAAAUUUUAAAUGAAUGAUUACUCAGGUGAUAUACAGAGCAUUUAAUCUCAGGUAAGCAAGUCUCCAAAGGUUUAAAGAAGGACACUCUUUAAGUGAAAAUUAGGUAUAUUAGAAACAAUUUAAAAGGUUCUUAUCCCAGCAGGCUGGUGCUGUGCCUGGAUCAGACCACAGCUGACAUCGUCAUUUUACUGAGCAUUAAAUUCAUUCACAAAUGUUAAUGGGUCUGAAAAAAAAUAAUUACAAUGGUAACAAAUUAGGGGUCUGUUACACUAACUAACUUUUCUCUAUUAACACAGAAUUUACUUUGAAGAGCAGAAAGAGCCAAGUGAGCAGAUUUCAUAAUUGCAGAACUUUAUUUUCACUUUGCUCUAACUUUCCCAGUGAAACAGAACAUAAAGAAAGCCUUUUGCAAAUGGAUAAUUACACACUACAUCUCAGGAUUAUGAGAUACUGUGUAACCUUUUCUCCUCCUUUUCUAAUAUGACUGAGCACCAUCACAGAGCUAUUCUUGCCCUUAUGGGGGAAAAAAGGCACUUCAAGUCACUCUUCAUAUCUAAUAGCAUGAUUUCAUGUUUAUUAACAUAUACCCAUAAAAUGAAUAAUUUUUCAGCACCUGAAGGGACCAUACGGAUCAGCUAACCCAAACUUCUAUCUUAAAAAGCUGAAACUAAGGUCAAGAAAAGUUAAAUGAUUCUUUGUAACACAAAAAUUCUGGAAUAAGAGAAACUUCUAUCAAAUGAACGGUAAUGGCUGCAUUUUUGGAGCAGCGAAAUGGAGGGUCAUCCUUGGGUGUGGGAGGAGAAGAUGGAGUGGAAACACGUGUUAAAUUAAAGGAAAAUCAAAAUUUAUUCAGAGGUCUGCUCACUUAGCUCAGAUGGUUUAAGAUAAAUUAUUUGACAUUUAUCCCCUGCACAUCAAGAAAGGUAAGAUCUAUCAGGUUAGGAGCACAGAAUGUGGAGUCACACAGACUUACCUCCAAACCAAGAUGAAUCCCAACCUACCACUACAGCCUUUUUUUGAUGGAUGUUCCAGUUGCUUUAUCACACAAAGUUUCACCUACACAUUAUGUUUGGCUAACUUCGGCAACUCUCUCCAUUAUCACAAAGUAUCCAGAAUUAAUCAGGUGUGUGAGCAAACUCCCAGAGAGCUCUGUAAUAAUGAUCUUUUACAUGGUUUCUCUUCCACUUACCUGUUAGGAAAAAUUUGAUUAACUUCAAUUUUUUAGACUUAAAACCCUGUCUCUCAGGCCUUCAAUUUUUAUCUGCGUGAUGCCUCUCUUGAUGCUUAUUGUGGGUAACUUUGCAGUUCAACUGGCCAUUUGGAGUAACACAAACCAAACAACAGCUUGAGCGCAUCUUAUCUCUUCAUCAUGUUGUAUCUGACUUUUCCCAUUUAGAAGUUUUCCAGUCAAGAAAAUUAGUUCAUUUUUCUUACUAAACACAAAAACUUAAAUCCCUCAUAAAGAAUCAAGGUGUCAGAAGAUCUAUCAGUAGAAUUCGAGGAAUGAAAGUUUCAUAAGAUCUCUUCUUCACUAAGAAAGUAAUGUUUUAUCUUUACAAAUAAGAAUUCAACUUUGGAAACCUUUGAUAAAUCCACCAAAACAACUCUAGUUAAAGUCAAUGAUGACCUUUAGUUGCUAAAUCCAAUGAUUAAAAUUUAACUUUUCAUGUGGCCUCUCCCGGUAGCAGUAUAUGACAUAACUAAUUACUCCCCCUUCCUUGAAGUCUCUCCUUCUUUCGGCCUUUGGGUGACUGUUCUCAUUUAAUCUCCUAGCUGGCUCCUGCUUCUCAGAUUCUGUUUCCAUUUUCUCCUCAUUCCACCAAACUCUAAACACUGGGCUGCUCCAGGGGUAAGUUAUAGAUAUUUCCUUUAUGUACACAUAUGCACCCAAGCUGUGGCUUUAAAUAUUAUCUAAGUGCUAGACCUAUCCAUUAAAACAUAUUAUUUUAUAAAUAACUACCUUUUCAACAUCACCAACUGGAUGUCUGACAGGCAUCAGACGUUACCUAACCUGCACAAAUUAAUACUCUUGAUUUUACCCAAAAUCUGUUCCUCCUAUUGCGUUCUCCAUCUCUGUACAUGGUAGUUCCAUUUUCCCAUGGGUUCAGGUCUAACAUCUUGAUUUCUCUAUUUAACUCAUAUCUUACCUCUAACCCCAAAACAAAUCCCACUGGCUCCAUGUUCAGAAUCAAAAGAGUGUAACCAUCUUUCUACCUUCAGUGACACUUUAGUACACGCCACUAUCAUUUCUCAGCAAGAACGCUGCAAUAGCUUUCUAAUUGAUCUCCCUAUUUUUACUUACAAAAUGUGAGUAAUUUAUUUAAAAACUUAAAUCUGAUCACAACUUUACUCAAAUUCUUUCACUUCCAAUCUAUACUGGAAUAGGAGGCAUGUCUUCCCAGGGCCUACUAGGUUCUACACAAUCAAGAUUUCACUACUUCACUGGACAUAUCUCCUGACCUCUCCCUAUUUUUCACUGCGUUCUAGCCAUACUGGUUUUUCUGUUAUUUUCCAAAAGCGUGAAGUCACUUUGUCUUGAAACCUUUUUCUCUUGCAUUUCCUUGGUCAAGAAGACUCUUCUCCCACAUAUAUAAAUGAUUUGCCACUUCUUUCUUCAUUUCUUCACUGAUCUACCCAAAAUACUAUUGCCCUCCCAGGCUUCUUCCUAUGCUCAUUUUUCUGCUACAUUUAUCUCCAUUGCAAUUGUCAUCAUCUGAUUUACUACAGAUUUACUUAUUUUUUAUCUGUCUUUCCCCAUCAACUCCACCAGAAGGUAAGUUAUAUAUAAGCAGGAAAUUUAUUUUGUUCACUGCUAAUCCUCAAUACCUAAAAUAGUGUCUGGCACAUAGUAGGUGUGCAAUAAAAAAUGUCAAGUUUGAAUGACAUGAAUAACUGAAUGAAUGGUAACUGUAUUAAAUGAGUCUUAAUUUGAGUCUAAAAAGAACAUGGCUUUUUACUGUAAAUGCUACAAAGGGCCACAAAAAUUGGGGCUCAAAUUAUUAGUCAAGACAUCAGUGACAUAUAAAAAAAGAUACCUGUGGUAUAAUUUGAGGAACACUGGACAAGUUCUCCAGACCAAGAAGAACCUUUAAGUUGAAUGACAUUGAGGUUUAAAU